rnacentral:rRNA from 1 species
UACGUAGGGGGCAAGCGUUAUCCGGAAUUAUUGGGCGUAAAGCGCAUGUAGGCGGUUUGUUAAGUCUGGUGUGAAAGCUCAAGGCCUAACCUUGAAAUUGCAUUGGAAACUGGCAAACUAGAAUACUGGAGGGGUAAGUGGAAUUCCAUGUGUAGCGGUGGAAUGCGUAGAUAUAUGGAGGAACACCAAUGGCGAAGGCAGCUUACUGGACAGUUAUUGACGCUGAGAUGCGAAAGCGUGGGGAGCAAACAGG